rfam:Leifsonia sp. Root227 contig_3, whole genome shotgun sequence.
CCACCUACCCAUUCACAACGGAUCGUCCGGCACGUACCUGCCGGUGAAGGAGUAAGAA